CAUGCUUUCGGUGGAUAAGUUCGAUUUAGAGAAAAAAAACGAUUGCGAAAAUAAUUUUCUAGAUAUUAUCGGAAAUAAUACCAAUGUAUCGGAACCGACAAAACAUUUUUGUGGGGUUGUGGCCGAACCGCACGAAUCCAAGUCGAAUACUUUGUAUGUACGAUUUUUUGCCACUAAACAGGGACUCAAAUCCAAAUUUUCGCUUUCCUUCACUGCAUUCACAAAAAAGAAGGCAGUCGAUGGAAAAAAUUCAACACCAACGUGUGGUGAAAACGAAUUUGAUUGUGAUGAUGAAACAUGCAUCGAUAUAUCCCUGAAAUGCGACAAGCAUCCUAACUGUAAAUUUCGAAAGGAUGAAUCGGAUUGCCCAUAUCAUAAAAAGGAAGAUGAGAAGAAAGAUUUGUGGCUAAUUAUAGCAGUAUUUAGUGCACUGCUUGGUGCCAUGACAUCGGUAUUCUUGUUUAAUUGCAUCCGAACACUAAUUCGAGAUCAGAAAAUUAUUAGAGAAACCAUUCGACAAUCAAAAGAGAGUAAGCUGGAUGAAGCAGGUCGCAUGUCCAUAAAACGGUCUCUAGAGAAUGUAAACCGAAUAAUUCCUGGAGACCACCAAUUCAAUUUUUUCAAUUGGUGCUAACGUUUGCCGAUUUGAUAUUUCUCUUGUUACGUUCUCCAUUCCUUUUUUAUUGUUGUUUUUACAUGGGGAAACCAUUAUUACAUCUGCUACGGGCUAUGCAAUAGAGCCAAGACUAAAACAAAUACAAGACGAGGAUGCAGGCGUUAUAUUUCGAGAAACCACAUCAGCAUCAUCAAUAUCAGAUAGUAUAAAUAGGAAUAAUAAAAACCAAUAUAAUUAUAGGGAUGAGGUAAAUGUUGACUAUUUUUUCCCAAAAAAAAAUUCAUUACUCUCAAUGUGUGCGCGUGAAUUGAAUGAAUGAAGCAGA